rnacentral:rRNA from 1 species
GAUGAACGCUGGCGGCGUGCCUAAUACAUGCAAGUCGAGCGAACGGACGAGAAGCUUGCUUCUCUGAUGUUAGCGGCGGACGGGUGAGUAACACGUGGAUAACCUACCUAUAAGACUGGGAUAAUUUCGGGAAACCGGAGCUAAUACCGGAUGAUAUUUUGAACCGCAUGGUUCAAAAGUGAAAGACGGUCUUGCUGUCACUUAUAGAUGGAUCCGCGCUGCAUUAGCUAGUUGGUAAGGUAACGGCUUACCAAGGCAACGAUGCAUAGCCGACCUGAGAGGGUGAUCGGCCACACUGGAACUGAGACACGGUCCAGACUCCUACGGGAGGCAGCAGUAGGGAAUCUUCCGCAAUGGGCGAAAGCCUGACGGAGCAACGCCGCGUGAGUGAUGAAGGUCUUCGGAUCGUAAAACUCUGUUAUUAGGGAAGAACAUAUGUGUAUGUAACUGUGCACAUCUUGACGGUACCUAAUCAGAAAGCCACGGCUAACUACGUG